GCCAGGCGCAGUGGCUCACGCCUGUAAUCCCAGCACUUUGGGAGGCCGAGGCGGGCGGAUCACAAGGUCAGGAGAUUGAGACCAUCCUGGCUAACACUGUGAAACCCCGUCUGUAUUAAAAAAUACAAAAAAUUAGCCAGGUGUGGUGGCGGGCGCCUGUAGUCCCAGCUACUCGGGAGGCUGGGCAGGAGAAUGGGGUUUCACCAUGUUAGCCAGGAUGGUCUCGAUCUCCUGACCUUGUGAUCUGCCCGCCUCG
rnacentral:sRNA from 1 species